rnacentral:tRNA from 1 species
GGCGCUGUGGCUUAGUUGGUUAAAGCGCCUGUUUAGUAAACAGGAGAUCCUGGUUCCAAAUCCCAGCAGUGCCU